UGCCUAGUAUAUUAGUAUAAUAGUCCAAGGUACAUGUAUACUGAUUUGUAUCACUACAAUAUAAUAGUUAUUACGGUGAGGUUAAAUUUCCUGUCAUUUAUUCAUCAUCCAAGCACGAACUUGUAUCAGAAAAAAAUAUAUCUCUGUAAAUUAACCUCAGUUUCAGGUACAGAGAUGUGAUCUGUUUCUGCGACAUGUGCAUUUGACCAUCCACAAGAACCUGCGGUCAUCCGAUGUUCAGUACUUCAGUACUUUGAUUUAUGUUGUUGCAUAAAUGAAU
rnacentral:lncRNA from 1 species